AUUGAACGCUGGCGGCAUGCCUUACACAUGCAAGUCGAACGGCAACAGGUCUUCGGAUGCUGACGAGUGGCGAACGGGUGAGUAAUACAUCGGAACGUGCCCGAUCGUGGGGGAUAACGAAGCGAAAGCUUUGCUAAUACCGCAUACGAUCUACGGAUGAAAGCAGGGGACCGCAAGGCCUUGCGCGAACGGAGCGGCCGAUGGCAGAUUAGGUAGUUGGUGGGAUAAAAGCUUACCAAGCCGACGAUCUGUAGCUGGUCUGAGAGGACGACCAGCCACACUGGGACUGAGACACGGCCCAGACUCCUACGGGAGGCAGCAGUGGGGAAUUUUGGACAAUGGGCGAAAGCCUGAUCCAGCCAUGCCGCGUGCAGGAUGAAGGCCUUCGGGUUGUAAACUGCUUUUGUACGGAACGAAAAGACUCUGGUUAAUACCUGGGGUCCAUGACGGUACCGUAAGAAUAAGCACCGGCUAACUACGUGCCAGCAGCCGCGGUAACAC
rnacentral:rRNA from 1 species